AGAUGAUUUUGAGCGGUUGGGAGAUGUCAAAGCGCACGACUCUCUGUAAUGUAUUUACUUUAGUAUAUAUAUAUAUAUACACUAGGGCUGAAACAAUUACUCGACAUUAUCGACAACGUCAACGAUAAAAAUAAAAUUGUCGGCAAAUGUUUUUGAGUAACGUUAGUGGUUUGAUCUCGUAUCUGCCUAAUUUGAAAGCCUGCAAUAAUGCAGUUUGACCAGUGUGGCGCUGUAGCGCAAGAUUGUAAUACACUCUCCUGAUUCAAUUCAAAAGAAGAAGAUAGCACUUCAGUUUGAGGCAAACCGAUCCGAUCCGAACCGAACAUUGGAUGAAUAUAUUUGUGCAGAAUUUGAGACAUACAGAAUUACCAUAGGCCCAUUAGAAUCAACAAUCUUUGCACAACUUGAUCCGGACUGCAAAACUUACGAAGAUGUUUGCAUACUGAAGAAGAGUCCUUGGACAAAUAAUGAAACCCUCUUGGUGCCCACUACACAGGCAGGGGUGUCCAGACCUGAUCUAAGAAAGCCAGUGUUCUGUGGAGUUCAGCUCUAACACACCUGCCUGGAACUUCAGACUAAUGAAAUUGAAGUAUCCAAUGAAGACCCUAGCAGUAUGGA